GGAAAUAUUAGCAUAAUGCUGCCCAAAUGUGCACGCAGAGAAAGAAGGCGUGGUUUCAGGAACGCAGCAGUGUUGAUGCAGGAAACCUAUGUCAGGGAGAUGCUG